rnacentral:rRNA from 1 species
AGCAGUCGCCACGGUAAUACAGAGGGUGCGAGCGUUAAUCGGAUUUACUGGGCGUAAAGCGUGCGUAGGCGGCUUCUUAAGUCGGAUGUGAAAUCCCUGAGCUUAACUUAGGAAUUGCAUUCGAUACUGGGAAGCUAGAGUAUGGGAGAGGAUGGUAGAAUUCCAGGUGUAGCGGUGAAAUGCGUAGAGAUCUGGAGGAAUACCGAUGGCGAAGGCAGCCAUCUGGCCUAAUACUGACGCUGAGGUACGAAAGCAUGGGGAGCAAACAGGAUUAGAUACCCGUGUAGUCCCUGUCUCUUAUAA